UACGGAGGGUGCAAGCGUUGUCCGGAAUCAUUGGGCGUAAAGAGCUCGUAGGCGGCUUAGUAAGUCGGGUGUGAAAACCCCAGGCUCAACCUGGGGACGCCACCCGAUACUGCUAUAGCUAGAGUCCAGUAGGGGAGUGUGGAAUUCCCAGUGUAGCGGUGAAAUGCGCAGAUAUUGGGAGGAACACCAGCGGCGAAGGCGGCACUCUGGGCUGGUACUGACGCUGAGGAGCGAAAGCGUGGGUAGCGAACAGG
rnacentral:rRNA from 1 species